GUCACACCUACACGUGAAAAUCAAACACAUGCAAAGACAAUCAAAUUCUACUCCUAUGUCUAGCUAAAAUUUAAAGAAAACAAACAAGAAAGGUUGCCAAGAUUUGAAAGAGCACCAAGGACUCUUCCAAACUUGGACUUUAUAUAAUGGCCUUUUACAAAUUAAAUCUAAAGCUACCAGUGGGNUAACAUAAGCCCAUUACACAUCAAAUUACACACAAAGAAAAAAAAUACAUAAAAAAAAAACAAGCUAUACUACGACCCACUACUGCUAAGGUCCAGCCCAAAGACGUUGCUUUUGUAAUCAAUGUUUUUGAAUCUCCUGGCCAAUCCUACAAUCACAGAUCACAAAGCUGGAUCAGUAAACUGUUAACUAGUCAUCUUAGAAGAGGAAAUUUACACAGUAAUGAGUCCUCCCUUUCUCGGUUCAGUGCAGAUGAGUCUAGCAGAAACUCCUAUUUGCUCUCAAAUUGCAUUCAGCUGUAAUAGAUGUUCAAUUCUCAUCAACCAAAGCUGCAUAGUUAUUUAAACUACAAUCAGCAGGGUAUCCAUUCAAUACUAUCACUUAUAAGCUAAAUCAGAAGCAACAAUUCACAACAAGGUAAGUAAGAUAACUCCCUUCAGUUUU
rnacentral:lncRNA from 1 species